rnacentral:rRNA from 1 species
AGAGUUUGAUCCUGGCUCAGGACGAACGCUGGCGGCGUGCUUAACACAUGCAAGUCGAACGAAGGUUGCAGUAAUGUAAUCUUAGUGGCGGACGGGUGAGUAACGCGUGGGCAACCUGCCUUGUACUGGGGGAUAACACUGGGAAACUAGUGCUAAUACCGCAUAAUAUCAAUGAGUGGCAUCACUUGAUGAUCAAAGGA